UGUAGUCAUAUGCUUGUCUCAAAGAUUAAGCCAUGCAUGUCUCAGAAUAAACCACUAACGAAGGGUGAAUCUGCGCACGGCUCAUUAUAUCAGGGGGAAUUCGAUUAGCACUGUUCACUAUAAACGGCGUAUCGGUCUCGUAUCGGUAUCGUCAAUGGAUAACCGCGGUAACCCCGUGGCUAAUACAUGCGUAAGCGGCUCUUCACGGAGUCGUCGUUUAGUGGGAUAGACCUGAUCGCGGUUGGGCGGUUAACCCCGUCUGAUCGUGGUUGGUGAGUCACGCUAACUGGACCUAUCGUAGACGGCCUCAGUGCCGGACGAUUUGCUAUUCGACCCCUUGUCCUAUCAGCUUUUGAUGGUACGUUCGUGGCUUACCAUGGCUACAACGGGUAACGGGGA
rnacentral:rRNA from 1 species